ensembl:lncRNA
AUGUUGCGAGAUAUGGCAUUUACCCUUAGCGGAGGUAUGCGCUCUACUGAGUCAUUAUUAGUCAUUAUUAUUUUUGCAAUCAUUGCCAAGUACUGCUAGACGACCACCUCCCACUAAAUGCAGUACCUAAUUUCAGACUGUAGGGUUGACAUUUACACAUGUCCUCCCGAGUUUAUGGAACCGCCCCCGAAGUAAAACAGUAAGAAAAGUGUUAUGGGACUACACAAACUAUUGCGGGUCAUGUUGUGGUGGAUUGUGAUCGGAGCUAUUCACACUUCCGAUGGGUUGAAGGUGUUUGAAUUCUGCUCUGGGAAGAAGUUUUUCAUCCCAGACCACAUCAUGUCACGUGCCCCUCUCGGCUCUUACAUAUAUUUCACACCCAUCACUCCAGAGGCCAAAACACGGAUGGUGAUGAAUGUGACUCAGGUAUGAAAUAUGGGGAGAUAGGCUAACUGUUGAGAAAAGAGCUCCACCCCACCAUCGUGGUCAAUUGGAUAUGUCUUUAUGUCUCUCUCCUUUAAUUGUCUCUCUCUCUCUUUCUCUUUAUUUUUCUAUCUAUAUUUUUUCUAAGAAACCUAACACAGUGUUUGUGCAUGCAAAUCUUUUCCAGUCCCUGGACCCACACUAUAAGUAUAAGCAUGAAACGGUCUUCAUAUCGGAGUUGACAGACAGAGACCAGGGGAUUUUUUCAUGGUCACGUCAUAAUUCCAAAAAAUCUACUGACUUUCUUAAACUUAUAAUGAAAGACUGCACUGAGGAAAUGGAGGUGUACUACGGAAACCAGUUGGAGAUUUUCCCGAUGAAACGUGCUAUGGUGCUGGAGUUCUCUCCCCUUCUGGGGCCAUCAGACACACAGAUACUGUGGAGACCGGGCCAGACUAGCAGGCGGUGGUCUGCAGAUGUCGUCACCUCAGACCAACAGGGCAACUACACCUUACGAGGUCGCCUCGGGGUGGAGCUGCGGAAGAUACGCGUCACUGUGAUUGCUAAAACUAUGGAAGUCAGUGUUGAAGGAGAGGGGAGUCUGAUCAUCCGCUUCCCCAUCCCCACAUCCAAGUCAGUCAUCAGCUUCACAGACCAGUCCGGCAUGGAGCAUGUGCUUUACCAGAUGGGUAUUGAGAGCGUCGAUGUGCUCUAUAGUCUGCAUCUUGACGGUCGGGUCUCACUGCAGGACCACCCCUCAGGUUCUAGUGUCCGGAUCGAAGACUUGAGACCAAGCGAUGCAGGAACCUAUGAGGUCCGAGACUCGCAUGGCCAUCUGGUCGUUAUUGCCACCCUGGAGAGUCAAGGUGAGGUGUAGUCAUUCAUACGUGUACCAGUGAUUUCCAGUGCUGCUGCUGUGACUCCUUCAGAGUCAGGUGUCAAGCUCUCCCAGCCAUUAAAGAGAGGGCCUCAGGGGGCACUGUGGUGCAAACAGUAACCCCGACCACAUUCGGGCUUGACGCCCAUGGAGGACACGGGUUCGAAUCCAGCCCGAUGUCAUUUCUCCUGUCCACUCCCCACCUCUUCUCCCUCUCACUUCCUGUACCACUCUUCACUGAUCUAUCAAUUAAAGGCAUGAAAUAAAAAAUAAAAAAGAGAGGGCCUCA